rnacentral:rRNA from 1 species
CCUACGGAUGGCAGCAGUGAGGAAUAUUGGUCAAUGGACGAGAGUCUGAACCAGCCAAGUAGCGUGAAGGAUGACUGCCCUAUGGGUUGUAAACUUCUUUUAUAUGGGAAUAAAAUGUUCCACGGAUGGGCGUUUGUAUGUACCAUAUGAAUAAGGAUCGGCUAACUCCGUGCCAGCAGCCGCGGUAAUACGGAGGAUCCGAGCGUUAUCCGGAUUUAUUGGGUUUAAAGGGAGCGUAGGUGGAUGUUUAAGUCAGUUGUGAAAGUUUGCGGCUCAACCGUAAAAUUGCAGUUGAAACUGGCAGUCUUGAGUGCAGUAGAGGCGGGCGGAAUUCGUGGUGUAGCGGUGAAAUGCUUAGAUAUCACGAAGAACUCCGAUUGCGAAGGCAGCCCACUGAGCUGCAACUGACACUGAGGCUCGAAAGUGUGGGUAUCAAACAGGAUUAGAUACCCGAGUAGUC